AUUUCAACUUAGUGUUUACCUUGUCUCCUAUCAGAAAUGAAUAACUUUAUUGGUAAUUUAUGGUUCUUAUGUCUCAUUCGCAUCAUUUUAUGUUGCUCCAUAAGCGCUGAAUUGGUUGCACUUGACAACGCUGCAGCUUUCGAGGCGUUUAAUUGCAUCGCCGACUGAGCUUCAUCCCUAGAGAUCGUAAAUCAUCAAGACUCGAUGAGGUAUGGACCGAUUCUAUCUUCCUUCGGUCCCUUCUUGAUCGUUCUUGGUUGAAAAAACCAGCGAGUUGACCUUAUAAAAUUGGCACAUGCCUCCGAUCGGUUUACGUAUUUUAUUGGUACGUUUUAUCGCAGAUUAGUAUUGUAUAAUACUAACUACCUCGCGGCCCAACCCCGCGAAGCGCUUCGCGCCUCGGGUGUUAAGCGUUACACUUUACUUACAUGAUUUUAUGUUAUUGCGUGGAGUAUGAUAACCCGCAUUCAGCCUUAUAAAAGCUCAUUGCGAUCGAAAAUAAAGAACGAAAGGCAAUUUUAAUUACAUUAUCUUUGAA